rnacentral:rRNA from 1 species
AGUAACGCGUGGGAAUUUUCCUUUUAGUGAAGAAUAUGCCUGGGAAACUGGGGGUAAUACUGCAUACGUUUGUUGGUAAAACAACAAAGAAAGACGGCUUUUGCUGUCGCUGAAAGAUAAGCCUGCGUACUAUUAGUUAGUUGGUGGGGUAAUGGCCUACCAAGACAAAGAUGGUUAGCCGGCCUGAGAGGGUGACCGGCCACAUUGGGACUGAGAUAUGGCCCUGACUCCUACGGGAGGCAGCAGUAAGGAAUAUUGCGCAAUGGGCGAAAGCCUGACGCAGCAAUGCCGCGUGAAGGAUGAAGGUUUUUGGAUUGUAAACUUCUGUGGAUUGUGAGGAAAUCUCUUUUGUUAAUAGCAUUAGAGGAUGACAUUAGCGAUCUAGAAAGCCCCGGCUAACUUCGUGCCAGCAGCCGCGGUAAUACGGGGGGGGCAAGCGUUAUUCGGAUAGACUGGGUGUAAAGGGCGCGUAGGCGGUCAAAUAAGUCUCUUGUUUAAGGCAUCGACUCAAUCGAUGUUUGUUGAGGGAAACUGUGUGGCUGGAGUGCGGGAGAGAGAAGUGGAAUUUUCGGGGGAGCGGUUAAAUGUGUAGAUCUCGAAAGGAACGCCAAUGGCGAAGGCAACUUCUUUGAACGAUACUGACGCUGAUGCGCGAAAGCGUGGGGAGCAAACAGGAUUAGAUACCCUGGUAGUCCACGCCCUAAACGAUGAUCACUAGAUGUGUGGCUUUAUGCUAUGUGUCGUAGCUAACGCGUUAAGUGAUCCACCUGAGGAGUACGGUCGCAAGACUAAAACUUAAAGAAAUUGACGGGGGUCCGCACAAGCGGUGGAACAUGUGGUUUAAUUCGAUACUACGCGAGGAACCUUACCUGGGCUUGACAUGCAUAUGCCAAGUUUAGAAAUAUUCUGUCUCGAGCUUGCUCGAGCGUAUGUACAGGUGCUGCAUGGCCGUCGUCAGCUCGUGUCGUGAGAUGUCAGGUUAAGUCCUUUAACGAGCGCAACUCUUAUCGUUAUUUGCAAUCCAUUUAUUUGGAGCUACUAUAGCGAGACUGCCCAGGGAACUGGGAGGAAGGGGGGAAUGACGUCAGGUCAUCAUGGCCUUUAUGUCCAGGGCUACACACGUGUUACAAUGGCCGGUACAACAAGGAGCGAUCCAGUAAUGGUGAGCAAAUCUUUUUUAAAUCCGGUCUCAGUUCGGAUUGAGGUCUGCAAUUCGACCUCAUGAAGUUGAAAUCGCUAGUAAUCGCGUAUCAUAAUGACGCGGUGAAUACGUUCUCGGACCUUGUACACACCGCCCGUCAAACCAUGAGAGUUUUUUGUACCGGAAAAUAUUAUAGCUAACCUUACGGGGGCGGAUAUUUAUGGUAUAGGAGAUGAUUGGGGUUAAGUCGAAACAAGGUA